GGAGAGGUGGGGUUUUGGCGGAUGGGACAGACAUGGUGGAAUCCUAUCUUGACGAAUUUCUUUGGCGAGAACAAUAUGGAAGAACUGGAAAUGAUUGUUUUGAAAACAUUCUGAAGCAGUCACUGGACUGCAGCCAUGAAAAAAACCCUGCUUCGAAGGGUCUUAAUUGAACAAAUCAACCACAAUUCUGUUGACCAAAUACACUCACAAAGCUUUGGUUGUCCUGAGAUUAUAGUAGAAGACAUUUGCUCAAUGUGCCAUGCAGUGAGACUGAACCUGGAACUAUGUGGUUGGGAAGCAAACUUCUUAUCACACAGCCACACUAUACACACAAGACACAUACGCAUGCCACAAUGUACAUCAUAAUUAGUCUCAAUAAGGUAGUUUUUGUAAAAAAUGCUCAACAAAUGUCUAAAUGAAUUAUUUAAUUACUUGUGAUUUUGACGUGAGAGAGUCAACUUUCGAUAUGGGAUAUGGAAAAUACAGACAUACAAACAUAACGGUGUAGAUAUUUACAGAUUAUCUGUGGAAAAUGUCUAGAAUACUAUUGGAAAAAAUUAAAAGGAGAAAAACACAUUUCAUGAAUUACUUCUUUUUUUUCCCCAUCUAUUUUAGAUGUGCUGUGCGUGAGAAGACCCGGCAAGCCAAGUAAGAUCGUUGCCAGUGCCCCUGGACUGGUUCUUGUGCGGGUGGCACAUGAGAUGCACCAUUUUGAGCGUGGCCGUUGCCAGUACCGCCUGACUGGCUCCCGUAGGAUUUUCGAGCGAGAUCGUUGCCAGUGCCCCUGGACUGGCUUGUGCGGGUGGCACAUAAAAGACACCAUUUCGAGCGUGGCCGUUUUCGUGCGGGUGACACGUAAAAGCACCCACUACACUCUGAGUGGUUGGCGUUAGGAAGGGCAUCCAGCUGUAGAAACUCUGCCAAAUCAGACUGGAGCCUGGUGUUGCCAUCCGGUUUCACCAGUCCUCAGUCAAAUCGUCCAACCCAUGCUAGCAUGGAAAGCGGACGUUAAACGAUGAUGAUGAUGAUUUUAGACUUUCAUUUGUAUAUAUCUAUUUCCAGGUGAAUACAUAUAUAUAUAAAUAUAUAUGUAAAAAAAGGGUAAAAACCCCCUUCAGUCAUGAAUGA